ensembl:misc_RNA Y_RNA Y RNA
AGCUGGUCUAAAGGUAGUGAGCUAUCUCAACUGAUAGUUCAGUCAGAUAUAGGUUGACCUCUUUGUUCUACUUUUUCUCCCUUCCCCCUUCUCACUGCUGCACUUUACUAGUUUAAA